AUGGGUGCUUCUCUGUGCUUGCAGGAGCAGACUGCAAUGCUAUUUAACUUAAUUUGCAGUGAGGUAAAAGUUGCUAUCCUGCCCUCUCUUUUCCACAGGCAUCGUUGUAUGACAUUGACAGUUUUGGUAUUUUAUACUAAGAACACGUUUUGGAAAAACAAGAUAGGCAUGACUUCAGUGCACAAUGCUUCCCUCAUGGUUGUAAUUUAUUUGCAGGGAAGGAAAUUCUUAGCCACUCAUGUCAUGACUUCAGUGCAAAAGUCAGUCAUCCUUACUUUUUCAUAUUCUCCACUACACAUGGCUUCAUAUACAAGUCUAUCUUCUGUGUAG
rnacentral:rRNA from 1 species